GGAAGGAACAAGAGUUUCUCCUAGGAAGUUGGCAGCAGGUGGGAGAGGCCAGGGCAGGAGAGUGGAGACCGGGAUGGUAUCACGGAUUUUGUCCAGCCGAAGAUGGUGAAACUGCCUUGUUCACCAGAGUGACCAGCCAAUCUUUAACAAUCUUGGAUGGAUCCCAAGGAAAGAAGUCUAACACGCUACGAUUCUUGGCAGGACCACGGCCAGAAAUUACCAUUUUAAGUUCCGUCAAGUCAAAGCAAGGCCAACUAAGUUCUCUGCAAGGAUGGUAUUUUCACAGAAAAGAUGCUGCGCACCAAAAAGAUAGGCUACAACUCAAAAUGGCUGGGCAGAAGCGACGCAUGGGGCUACCUGUGGGUGAGGGAUUUCAUGAACUCUCCAGCAGUGCCAAUCUCCCAGCACCUCAGUGAUGCUGUUCACUGCCAACCUGAUUGGUUGGCCACGGGAUUAGUAAAAGCACACUUCUGGAUGGCCUGAACUGAGCAGCUUGGCUGUACUACACCCUUCAACCAUGAUGUUCCUGCUUUGCAACCAGCUAACCAUGGACUGAAUCUCAUGAAACCAUGUUCACCAGACAUAUGAGGAACUUCUACCAUGCUACAAAGAGCGAAGGACUUGGAAUCAGGAAAACUGGUCACUAUACUCUUUAUACCCCCAGCCCCCAUGCCUAGUAUUAAUUUUUCUGUGUGUGCUGAGGAUGGAACCCAGGGUCUCUACCACUGACCUACUCUCGCAGGCCCACCUUCAUAUAUAUUAACUUGAGUGCAGUCAUCUGGGACAUUCCAAGGGAAAUCGGUGACACAAUGUCUGUCUUAGAGUCUGGAAGAGCCUCCAGUUGUCUUCUAGUUGAAAAGUGCCAAAGGAAAGAGUGACACCUUAAAAGACCUGGGUGCUGACAGCUGCUAAGACGCCACCUUGGCUGCUUCCAACGGCAUAGCUGCAGCCAUUGCAGGGACGAAGGCUGACGUGAACAGAACAUGCCCUAGAAAGCUCACUGAAGACCAAGGAAACGAGUCAAAGCUAUUAAAAUGGUUGGACUCAAUAUGAGUUAUCUACAUUUUAUGAAGUAAAA